UACGUAGGGUGCAAGCGUUGUCCGGAAUCAUUGGGCGUAAAGCGCGCGUAGGUGGUCAUGUAAGUCCGCUGUGAAAGUCAAAGGCUCAACCUUUGAAAGCCGGUGGAUACUGCACUGACUAGAGUACGGAAGAGGCGAGUGGAAUUCCUGGUGUAGCGGUGGAAUGCGCAGAUAUCAGGAGGAACACCAAUAGCGAAGGCAGCUCGCUGGGACGUUACUGACACUGAGGCGCGAAAGCGUGGGGAGCAACAGG
rnacentral:rRNA from 1 species